rnacentral:rRNA from 1 species
AGGACGAACGCUGGCGGCGUGCUUAACACAUGCAAGUCGAGCGGUAAGGCCUUUCGGGGUACACGAGCGGCGAACGGGUGAGUAACACGUGGGUGAUCUGCCCUGCACUUCGGGAUAAGCCUGGGAAACUGGGUCUAAUACCGGAUAUGACCUCAGGUUGCAUGACUUGGGGUGGAAAGAUUUAUCGGUGCAGGAUGGGCCCGCGGCCUAUCAGCUUGUUGGUGGGGUAAUGGCCUACCAAGGCGACGACGGGUAGCCGACCUGAGAGGGUGACCGGCCACGACUGGGACUGAGACACGGCCCAGACUCCUACGGGAGGCAGCAGUGGGGAAUAUUGCACAAUGGGCGAAAGCCUGAUGCAGCGACGCCGCGUGAGGAUGACGGCCUUCGGGUUGUAAACCUCUUUCAGCAGGACGAAGCGCAAGUGACGGUACCUGCAGAAGAGCACCGGCUAACUACGUGCCAGCAAGCCGC